rnacentral:rRNA from 1 species
GACGAACGCUGGCGGCGUGCUUAACACAUGCAAGUCGAACGGAAAGGCCCUGCUUUUGUGGGGUGCUCGAGUGGCGAACGGGUGAGUAACACGUGAGUAACCUGCCCUUGACUUUGGGAUAACGUCAGGAAACUGGGGCUAAUACCGGAUAGGAGCUCCUGCUGCAUGGUGGGGGUUGGAAAGUUUCGGCGGUUGGGGAUGGACUCGCGGCUUAUCAGCUUGUUGGUGGGGUAGUGGCUUACCAAGGCUUUGACGGGUAGCCGGCCUGAGAGGGUGACCGGCCACAUUGGGACUGAGAUACGGCACAGACUCCUACGGGAGGCAGCAGUGGGGAAUAUUGCACUAUGGGCGGAAGCCUGAUGCAGCCACGCCGCGUGCGGGAUGACGGCCUUCGGGUUGUAAACCGCUUUCGCCUGUGACGAAGCGUGAGUGACGGUAAUGGGUAAAGAAGCACCGGCUAACUACGUG